AUGAUAUGUUCAGCAGCGGGUUUCCCUCAACUAUUUUCCUUGACAAUCGUCGGUUUUUAUGCACUUGAGGAGUGGAAGAUCGAGGAGAAGGCAAUGCCAUGUCUCAAGUAUUUACACAUCGCUUAUUGUUCAGAGUUGAAGGUGCUUCCUGAAGGACUGAAGAAUGUGCCACUUGAUCAACUGGUAUUGCGUUCCAUGUCCGAAGAAUUAGAAACCAGGGUUAAGGAGAAGACAGGAGAAGACUGGUCUAAGAUACAACAUGUGCACAACUUCUCCAUUAAACCUUAACAUAUGCAGCAAUGGAUAUUAUGUUCAGUUGUUACUUGUUAGCUGCCUUCAAAGGAAUGAGCGAGGAGUACUUUUGGACUUCAAAGGAGCGAUAGAUUAAAAAGCAAGGAAGACUCAUGCAUGAAAUUUCUUGUAAACUCUGCUUUAUUUACUGAACUCCAGAUUAAGAAGCAAGCAAGGAAGACUCAUUGAUUUA